UUGGAGGGCAAGUCUGGUGCCCGCAGCCGCGGUAAUUCCAGCUCCAAUAGCGUAUAUUAAAGUUGUUGCAGUUAAAAAGCUCGUAGUUGAACUUCGGGAUCAAUGGAUCGGUCAUGCCGUUGGUAUGUACUGGUCACAUUGGUUCUCACCUUCUAAGGAACCAUGAUGUCAUUCAUUUGAUGUUGUGGGGAAUUAGGACUGUUACCUUGAAAAAAUUAGAGUGUUUAAAGCAGGCUAACGCUUGAAUACAUUAGCAUGGAAUAAUGAAAUAGGACAUCGCAUUCUAUUUUGUUGGUUUCUAGGAUCGAUGUAAUGAUUAAUAGGGAUAGUUGGGGGCAUUAGUAUUCAAUUGUCAGAGGUGAAAUUCUUGGAUUUAUUGAAGACUAACUACUGCGAAAGCAUUUGCCAAGGAUGUUUUCAUUAAUCAAGAACGAAAGUUAGGGGAUCGAAGACGAUCAGAUACCGUCGUAGUCUUAACCAUAAACUAUGCCGACUAGGGAUCGGAUGAUGUUGAUUUUUUAAUGACUCAUUCGGCGCCUUACGGGAAAC
rnacentral:rRNA from 1 species